ensembl:lncRNA
AUGUCUACUGCAUCGGAGAACCACGAUGGUGUGUCUUUACUGGACAUACAGAACACCCAGCAGAUGGAAGGUGAUUCAUCUACUAAUGAAGAAAACCGUUGUAAUCAACAACUAGAAAAAGAGGAAGACGUCCAGCAAAAUAUAUGCGUCUCAGACAGCCAAGAGGUCGAAAUGGAAGCGCAAAACAUCAGAGUGCCUGAGAAUUGUGUCGCUGCACCGCCGGAGCAGAGUAACUUGCAUAUGGACGUGAAACAAGUCGCAGUGAUCAGCUCUAGCGAUGACAUCAACAUGCCAGAUGGCCAGUCAGAAGAUGCAACGGAAAAAAGUGAACGGAAUGGGUAUCCGGACUGCGUCAGUGCCCCAGAGUUUCCUGAACAAGUGCAGGAGGACACUGGACUUCAGGAAGUUGAAGACGUCACGGUGACAACAACUACAGCCACGACUAAAGUUGAAAUACCAGAUAGCACAUCUGAGGAGUUUUUGAUCUUAGAACCAAUCCCAGUGGGUGAAAUUCACUUUGAUAUUGUCACUCAAGCAGCGGCUGAAUCGGGUUUGUCGGACUCUCUCUCACAGGUGAAUCCAGACAGUGCUAUGGAAGAUGACUUGGAGAAUGAAAGGAUUUUAAAUGGUUCCCAACAAACCGUCUUCCUGGAGGCCGAAGUGCAGCAAUGUCAAGCAACUGAUGAAAUCAAAGUAACAAAUUCAAGUGAGGUUUUAGAUCAGGAGGCCAGGCCUGGGACUGAAAUCUCAGGUGAGGAAGGUGCUGAAGUUCUUCAAAAUUCUGACCACAACCAACAAGCGUCAUUUGACAUGAUGGUCGUUAAUACCUCAGAGAUUGAAAUGGCAAGCUGCCAUGCUCAAGUCACAAAUGAUGACUGCAAUGCACUGAUGAUAGAGAACGCUGAGGCUAGUUUGGACCUACAAGAAGUGCAGAUAAUGGAGGACAUAGAGAUCGGCCGUGAGAUCGUAGUAGCAGAGGAAGAGGAUGAUGAAGAUAGUGACAUUACAAUAAUAGAAAAACCCCAGGAAACCCCCAAGGCAGACCUUCCUGAAAAGUCUGAGGGAACAGUUGAUGAGAAAACUAAAGUUGGCACCUGUGGGACCAGCUUGACGCAUAACAGCACAGCUGAAAAGACUGAACAUGAUAAAAAGGGACAAGGGGCAGAAAAACCCAAGAAACAAGAAAUGAACACUCAGGCCAGAACCAAAGCCCGCCUCGCAGCUCUGGCUGAGCAAAAGGCUGCAGCGUCUAAGAGAACAGCCAACAGACAGCAGCUGAACCUCUUAGCUUUGUGUCAGGAAAUCGCAGAGGACAUUGCUACAGACAGCAUGCUGUUGAAGAGGAUAGAGGAAGAAAAACAAGCAGUGGUGGCGGCAGCAGCUGCAGCAGCAUCCAAGAGUGAAGCCAGCAAGAAGGAAAGUCCUCUUGUUAAAACGCAGGAGGCAGACAGUGUUAUUGUUGCAACUCCUGCGGGGCCAGAGGGGAGCUCUGCUUCGGUGACCCCUGCUGAGGGGGCUCCUACAGCCCAGCCCUCGACCAAGGAUUCAGUUGAGGCUAAGCCCGCUGCAGAGAUUGCGCCAGAGCCUCCAAAGAGGCGUUUCUUCGUCACACAGAUUUCAGUGCCACUGAAAGCCCAUGAGAAGAAGAAACUAACUAGAUAUCAAAGACUAAGACAGGUUGAACUGCAGAGAGAGAAAAUGUCUUGGGCCCGUGUAAAGAAACUUAAAUCUGACCAAGCAAAUCAGAUGUUUUCAAACAUAGAUUGGCAAGUACCCCUGUCUGAAUCCUCUCCAUUCCCAGUGCGCCCCGCGACCACGGCUCCUCCACCUGCGGCCAGUCCAUCGAAAACAUCUCUCCCAAGUCUUGCCUCAACUAGCAAGCCUGCAACACCCAAGCCAGAAGCCCCUAAGGUUGACACUCCUAAAGCUGAACCCAGUAAGACUGAAGCCACUAAAACAGAAACGUCCAAAACUGAACCCACUAAACCUGAACCUGCCCAAGCUGAAGCCUCCAAAACUGGGACUCCUAAUGCUGGAACCCGUAAAUCUACAAGGCAAAGUAAGGCUCAAACUCUAAAAGAAACCCCUUCUCCGGGGCCCGCCCCCAAAGUGACCAGAUCAGCAGCCAAGAGGACCCUCCCAGCAGUACCCCCUCCCAUGCCCAAUGGACUUGCUCAAAAACAGAAGCCUGUUGAGUACAAGCCAUACAGACCCAGGCCCAAGUAUUCCUUUGAUGACUUUGAACUAGAUGAUGACCCAUUACCAGGAGCAACAGCAAAGCCCGGUCCUCAGUCGAGGCCCACACAGCCGACACGACCUAAUGUUCAGUCGUACCCCGCAGCUCAAUCUAAACCCACAGUUCAGUCAAAACUCACCGUUUCAUUGCAUCUUGCCAACCAGGCAAAACUCAAAGCUCAGGCCACACGUGCUGAACAGACCUCAGUUCAGUCAAGGCCCUCCGGUUCUACCACGCCACAGUUAAAAACUGCCGCUGCAACUACACCCCAGUCGAUGGCCAGCGCCUACUGCCGCAGCGUCUUUAAAACAUGUUCCUUCAGUUAA